rnacentral:rRNA from 1 species
UGCCUUACACAUGCAAGUCGAACGGCAGCGCGGGAGCAAUCCUGGCGGCGAGUGGCGAACGGGUGAGUAAUGCAUCGGAACGUGCCCAUCGAUGGGGGAUAACUGCGCGAAAGCGUUGCUAAUACCGCAUACGACCUACGGGUGAAAGCAGGGGACCGCAAGGCCUUGCGUCGAUGGAGCGGCCGAUGUCGGAUUAGCUAGUUGGUGAGGUAAAGGCUCACCAAGGCGACGAUCCGUAGCUGGUCUGAGAGGACGACCCAGCCACACUGGGACUGAGACACGGCCCAGACUCCUACGGGAGGCAGCAGUGGGGAAUCUUGGACAAUGGGCGCAAGCCUGAUCCAGCAAUGCCGCGUGUGGGAAGAAGGCCUUCGGGUUGUAAACCACUUUUGGCAGGAAAGAAAUCGUUCGGGCCAAUACCCUGGAUGGAUGACGGUACCUGCAGAAUAAGCACCGGCUAACUACGUG